GGGGGGGGGGGGGGGCGGGCCGGGCGGGGGGGGGGCGGGCGGGACCUUCGGGGCUAGUGGCGCACGGGUGCGUAACGCGUGGGAACCUGCCCUUAGGUUCGGAAUAACUCCCCGAAAGGGGUGCUAAUACCGGAUAAUGUCUUCGGACCAAAGAUUUAUCGCCUUUGGAUGGGCCCGCGUUGGAUUAGCUAGUUGGUAGGGUAAAAGCCUACCAAGGCGACGAUCCAUAGCUGGUCUGAGAGGAUGAUCAGCCACACUGGGACUGAGACACGGCCCAGACUCCUACGGGAGGCAGCAGUGGGGAAUAUUGGACAAUGGGCGAAAGCCUGAUCCAGCAAUGCCGCGUGAGUGAUGAAGGCCUUAGGGUUGUAAAGCUCUUUUACCCGGGAUGAUAAUGACAGUACCGGGAGAAUAAGCUCCGGCUAACUCCGUG
rnacentral:rRNA from 1 species